CCUACGGGAGGCAGCAGUGAGGAAUAUUGGUCAAUGGACGAGAGUCUGAACCAGCCAAGUAGCGUGAAGGAUGACUGCCCUAUGGGUUGUAAACUUCUUUUAUAUGGGAAUAAAAUGUUCCACGUGUGUGAUUUUGUAUGUACCAUAUGAAUAAGGAUCGGCUAACUCCGUGCCAGCAGCCGCGGUAAUACGGAGGAUCCGAGCGUUAUCCGGAUUUAUUGGGGUUAAAGGGAGCGUAGGUGGAUUGUUAAGUCAGUUGUGAAAGUUUGCGGCUAAACCGUAAAAUUGCAGUUGAAACUGGCAGUCUUGAGUACAGUAGAGGUAGGCGGAAUUCGGGGUGUAGCGGUGAAAUGCUUAGAUAUCACGAAGAACUCCGAUUGCGAAGGCAGUUCACUGGACUGCAACUGACACUGAGGCUCGAAAGUGUGGGUAUCAAACAGGAUUAGAUACCCGUGUAGUC
rnacentral:rRNA from 1 species